rnacentral:piRNA from 1 species
UGUUAGCUCACUUCUUUCACGCCACUUGC